GUUAAGGUGGCAGAGCCCGGUAAUUGCGUAAAACUUAAACCUUUAUAAUCAGAAAUUCAAAUCCUCUCCUUAACA
rnacentral:tRNA from 1 species